rnacentral:ncRNA from 2 species
GGCUGUGACACGGGGUGCCGCGCACUGCGGCUGAGAUGACACCCGUCGAACCUGAUCCAGUUAGCACUGGCGAAGGGAUUGUCCGGCAUGUGCGGC